AGAGUUUGAUCCUGGCUCAGGAUGAACGCUGGCGGCGUGCCUAACACAUGCAAGUCGAGCGAUUCUCUUCGGAGAAGAGCGGCGGACGGGUGAGUAACGCGUGGGUAACCUGCCCUGUACACACGGAUAACAUACCGAAAGGUAUGCUAAUACGAGAUAAUAUGCUUUUAUCGCAUGGUAGAAGUAUCAAAGCUCCGGCGGUACAGGAUGGACCCGCGUCUGAUUAGCUAGUUGGUGAGGUAACGGCUCACCAAGGCGACGAUCAGUAGCCGACCUGAGAGGGUGAUCGGCCACAUUGGAACUGAGACACGGUCCAAACUCCUACGGGAGGCAGCAGUGGGGAAUAUUGCACAAUGGGCGAAAGCCUGAUGCAGCAACGCCGCGUGAGCGAUGAAGGCCUUCGGGUCGUAAAGCUCUGUCCUCAAGGAAGAUAAUGACGGUACUUGAGGAGGAAGCCCCGGCUAACUACGUGCCAGCAGCCGCGGUAAUACGUAGGGGGCUAGCGUUAUCCGGAAUUACUGGGCGUAAAGGGUGCGUAGGUGGUUUCUUAAGUCAGAGGUGAAAGGCUACGGCUCAACCGUAGUAAGCCUUUGAAACUGGGAAACCUGAGUGCAGGAGAGGAGAGUGGAAUUCCUAGUGUAGCGGUGAAAUGCGUAGAUAUUAGGAGGAACACCAGUUGCGAAGGCGGCUCUCUGGACUGUAACUGACACUGAGGCACGAAAGCGUGGGGAGCAAACAGGAUUAGAUACCCUGGUAGUCCACGCCGUAAACGAUGAGUACUAGCUGUCGGAGGUUACCCCCUUCGGUGGCGCAGCUAACGCAUUAAGUGCUCCGCCUGGGGAGUACGUUCGCAAGAAUGAAACUCAAAGGAAUUGACGGGGACCCGCACAAGCAGCGGAGCAUGUGGUUUAAUUCGAAGCAACGCGAAGAACCUUACCAGGGCUUGACAUCCCUCUGACAGGUCCUUAACCGGACCCUUCUUCGGACAGAGGAGACAGGUGGUGCAUGGUUGUCGUCAGCUCGUGUCGUGAGAUGUUGGGUUAAGUCCCGCAACGAGCGCAACCCUUGCUGUUAGUUGCCAUCAUUAAGUUGGGCACUCUAGAGGGACUGCCAGGGAUAACCUGGAGGAAGGUGGGGAUGACGUCAAAUCAUCAUGCCCCUUAUGCUUAGGGCUACACACGUGCUACAAUGGGUGGUACAGAGGGCAGCCAAGUCGUGAGGCGGAGCUAAUCCCUUAAAGCCAUUCUCAGUUCGGAUUGUAGGCUGAAACUCGCCUACGUGAAGCUGGAGUUACUAGUAAUCGCAGAUCAGAAUGCUGCGGUGAAUGCGUUCCCGGGUCUUGUACUCACCGCCCGUCA
rnacentral:rRNA from 1 species